rnacentral:rRNA from 1 species
GAUGAACGCUGGCGGCGUGCCUAAUACAUGCAAGUCGAGCGAACGGACGAGAAGCUUGCUUCUCUGAUGUUAGCGGCGGACGGGUGAGUAACACGUGGAUAACCUACCUAUAAGACUGGGAUAACUUCGGGAAACCGGAGCUAAUAACGGAUAAUAUUUUGAACCGCAUGGUUCAAAAGUGAAAGACGGUCUUGCUGUCACUUAUAGAUGGAUCCGCGCUGCAUUAGCUAGUUGGUAAGGUAACGGCUUACCAAGGCAACGAUGCAUAGCCGACCUGAGAGGGUGAUCGGCCACACUGGAACUGAGACACGGUCCAGACUCCUACGGGAGGCAGCAGUAGGGAAUCUUCCGCAAUGGGCGAAAGCCUGACGGAGCAACGCCGCGUGAGUGAUGAAGGUCUUCGGAUCGUAAAACUCUGUUAUUAGGGAAGAACAGAUGUGUAAGUAACUGUGCACAUCUUGACGGUACCUAAUCAGAAAGCCACGGCUAACUACGUG